rnacentral:rRNA from 1 species
UUGGGUGAGGAUAAGCCAUGCGAGUUGCAUGGGAUACCUAAAUUUCCCAUGGCAAACUGCUCAGUAACACAUGAUCAACUUGCCCUAUAGAGAAAAAUAACCUCGGGAAACUGAGGAUAAUGUUUCAUAGUUGAAAAGGCUUGGAAAAGUUUUUCAAUAAAAGGGGUAAGGAAAAUGGUACUUAUCUGCUAUAGGAUAGGAUCGUGUUCGACUAUGGUUGUUGGUGAGGUAAUGGCUCACCAAGCCGAUAAUCGAUAGGGGCCGUGAGAGCGGAAGCCCCGAGAUGGGUACUGAGACAGCGACCCAGGCCUUACGAGGCGCAGCAGGCGCGAAACCUCCACAAUACACGAAAGUGUGAUGGGGUUACCCAAAGUGUUCUAUUAAGAACUGUGGUAGGUGAGUAAUGUUCCCUACUAGAAAGGAGAGGGCAAGGCUGGUGCCAGCCGCCGCGGUAAAACCAGCUCUUCAAGUGGUCGGGAUAAUUAUUGGGCUUAAAGUGUCCGUAGCCGGUUUAAUAAGUUCCUGGUAAAAUCGGGUAGCUUAACUAUCUGCAUGCUAGGAAUACUGCUAUACUAGAGGGCGGGAGAGGUCUGAGGUACUACAGGGGUAGGGGUGAAAUCUUAUAAUCCUUGUAGGACCACCAGUGGCGAAGGCGUCAGACUGGAACGCGCCUGACGGUGAGGGACGUAAGCCAGGGGAGCGAACCGGAUUAGAUACCCGGGUAGUCCUGGCCGUAAACGAUGCAUACUAGGUGAUGGUACGGCCAUGAGCCAUGUCAGUGCCGUAGGGAAACCGUUAAGUGUGCCGCCUGG